ensembl:lncRNA
GUCCUAUUGACGAGGUUUCCACACGUCGCUUCUAAACCUGUUCCGCCAGGUCGCCAGCAGGGGGCGCGUUACUCUCCCUCGCAGGAGGGGUUGUCCUCUCUGCAAUCAGCAUCGGACAGCAGCCGAGCCGCUCUUCGUCUUUAAAAGCUGCUGGAAACACACGCACGCACUCACCUGCUGCUGAUAACCGAGCUACGAUGUUCUGCAGGCGGGCGUUCCAGAGAGUCGGGCCGCUGGCGCGGAGGGCGUUCAGGCCAACGUCCAGGAAUGCAGCUCCAGUGCGACACAUGGCCUUCGGGGUCCCUGGUGGCUCCUCCAACAUGGCGUACAUUGUCCUGUGUGGCGGAGGCGUCACUGCCGCAGUCGUCUAUAGUCCUUGCCUGAUCUGCUCACAGCAGUGAAAGUCUUGGCUGGCCCUCCGAUUGAGAUAGCGGCAGCUUCUGUUGAGAACAGUCUGGUGGAAGGUUUGGACUUUCCACUGAAGGUGGUCGAACCAGAAGCUGUGGAAGCGACCACAGAGGAGGUAGCCAAAGAAGCUCAAGAGGUGACCAUGGUGAACGAGGAGGAGUCGAAGCCUGCAGAUGCUGAACAGCUGGUUGAAGAAGGGACAGCUGCCAGUGUAGAGGCAGCGCUGGAGGAGGAGGUGGCUGCGUCUCUGUCUGAGGAAGCUACAACUUCAGUCCUGGCUGUGGAGGAGGAGGAGGGGGAGAAGGAGGAGGAGGUCCAGUCUGAAGACCAGACUGCAGACUCUGCAGCUGUCCGGGAGGAAGCCGCCGCCUCUUCUGAUACCCCACCUGAAGAUGCUGCUCCUGCUGAGGAGGCCACCACUGCUGCUGAAGCUGCUCCUCUGGAUGACACGCCGCCCGAUGCGGAGACAUGGGUGGAUGACGUAGCAGCCGAAGCUUUGGCAGCAACGCAUAGUGAAGCUGCAGCAGUCGUAGAUGCGAGUCAGCUGGCAGCAGCCUCCUCCGGGUCAGACCUGGAGGUGCUCUCAGCUGCUGGACCAGGAGCUACGUCAGAAGCUCCAGGGCAAGAGUCCAAGCGCUGCCACUCUUGCCACUCUGCUCCAUCAAUAGCCGUCGAAGUGGCGCCACCUGCUGCUUUGGGAGUGCAGCCGUCCGGUGAGGAAGAUGUGGAUGUUGCAGAGGAGGUCAAGGAGGCAGAGUCCCUGGUUGAAGGACAAACGGCACAGACAUUGGCGGUGGCAACGACCCAGUCGUGAUGGACAGUGUGCCUUCUACAACACUCGCUUAUCCGUCAACGGGGCCCGGAUGGCCGAUGAAAGCGGCACGGGGAGAACCAGCUACUGGUCUAAUUAGUGAAUGUGUCCUUUCAAAUGUUUUCAAGGGGGUUUAUUGUGUUUCUUCUGAUCUUUAGUAGCCUUUGUGAAACUAUUCCCAUAAUGUCUCUUGUCCUCUAGAUGUCACUGUAGCAUGACAAGUUGAGAGCACACAGGGUUCUUUGUAGUUGUUUCUAAGUGUUGGAAGGGUUUUGUUCUUUAUGUAAUGUUGUGACAGACUGAUGUCAAUAUUCAGCUCAACAAUAACUAGCAACUAAGACUGCACCAGAUAUUGUAUUUGGGGAAAUAGUUUAAAUAGGUGCAGACAUGAGAAUGUUUAGUGGUUUAAGACCAUCUCACCUUUAUUGUGUUGCUUUCAUAAAGGAAAACGUUACAUAUUAGAUAUUUGCUUUUUAAAGCUAGACUACAACUGGCAUCAUUAAUGUGUGUAUAUAUAAUGUGAUGUGAAUGAUUUUCUUCUUAUUCUAGACUAAUUUUCCUUCGACAACAAAGGAUAGAAACAUAAUGUCCAGGGUCAACAUGAACAUUCAAUCCAAAGAGGGUUGCAGAUAUAUCAUAAUAUAUUGUCAUCAUUGAACUAUGUAUCAUAUGAACUAGUUAACAUACCUCUUUGUAUUUAGUCAAAUACAAUAUCUUUCUUGUCAUGAAAGUGCGCUCACAUAGACAAUAAAGUGAUGGACAAACAAUUCAAAGUUCGGCUGUUUAUAAAGGUAUGUUUAAUAAACAUGGUCUUGCACUGUGCUGUAGUAGAUGUCAGUGGACCUUUUGAUGGAUCGAUAUAGAUAUUAGCUUUUCAUGUUUUAGGAAUACCAUCAAUUAAUUGGAAUACCAAUUUAGUGACCAUCUUCGUUGUCCUGAAACGGCCCAUUGAUGAGCUUUUAAAACCAACGGAUCAGGAC